GUGUGGAUGAUCCUGACUGGUGUUGGGUACUGGCUUCAAACCAGUGGGCGUCUAGCGACGCAGUGGUUCGAUUCCACCUUUCGCAC
rnacentral:tRNA from 1 species